AAGACAAUAGAUACCCUGGACUUCCUACCUCUCUGGUUCCCUGUGCGGCCAUGCUUCUGGCUAUGCUUCUAAGGAAGCAUUCAUAAUGCCUGUCUCGAGGGGGCCAUGCCGCCUGUAAAGCAACCAGCCAUAGAGAAAGUGUCUUCGAGAAGUCACUCGAUAAUGCAAAUUUCCUGAAGGUAUCAUACCAGACAUGAACAUGAAGACAUUUGCGCUACCAAAUUAAAUGAACUAUAACUGACCUGUGUUCUCUGCCAUGGAUCCACGUAUAGCCCCAUCAUGAAUUUUACAUUACCCUUUAAUGGUCCAGCCUAGAGGAUAUUGACUGACUGAGGGUCUAAUUUAUCAUUAGGGUUGAUGUGAACAUGCAUCAACCUAGUGCAAUGGUAAUCUGUCAUAUCCUGAAGGUUUUGACAUUCACACUCGGCUGCCAAACUGAUCGGAUGAUAUAUUCACUUAAGACAGAUAUAAUGGUGAUUAGGACAAUCUAGAGGUUUACUGUGCAAAUGGCAAAUGCCAGGAAGGAAUUCAUCUUUAUUUAUUUUUUGUGUGAAAGUGUAAAUCAUAAUUUUUGCAGGACCUGCCAUAUUUGAUGCAAGUACUUCCACAGAAUCUUAGCAAAUUUUGUCAAAACCAUUAAAACUACAACUACUAAAACAUUGCAUUCUACAGUUUGAUGGAUGAAACACUGGCAAACAAUGGAGAAUAGGACUGCUAAUAGCCUUUAGCUUUUAGCCUUUAGCAAAGGGCGGAUGAUGGCCUAGCUGUCUCCAAGAAAGAAGGAAGGUGCCCUUCUGACAGUGAAAAAGCAGGGAAGAAAACAUCAGUCAAACAGGGAGAGCAUGUCAUGGUUGCAGUUUGCACCAUUUGGAAUAUAAAAUAGCCUGUAAAAUGUAAUACACAGAAUACACAGUUUUGUCUACUGUGUUGCUAUGAUAAAAUUAUCUGAACAUUGUCAAUCAUGGAGUAUUUAUGAAUAGUAAUCAAAUUGAGUAAAAUCUUAUACCUACAUUUUGGAACAGUGUACUAUAGAUGCCAACUGACUUAGUCUUACUCAAAUAGCUCAAUCAUUUAAAAUGAAAGUCAAAUAAAGACUCUUUUUCCUUUA